AUAGGUAUGUCGUACGGCGCUCGGACCUAUUAUAAUCACCAACACGAAGUGCUCGGAAACGAUCAAGAGUUAUUUUUGUUCAGUUAAAGUUGAAAAAACGAUCUUUAUAUUUUUUAAAGAAGGAUCGACUGGUUGGUGACCAGCUGGUGGACUUGGCAUAUUAUAUUAUACCAGUGUUCGGGAGGACUGCGCGUUCAUCGCGUUCACGUAGUACCUAUAUUAUGUAUUUUGUGAAUUUGCCGUAAACGUCACUCACUUAAUAAAUCAAACAGAACAUGAACGAAAUUCAUAUUAUUUAGAAACUUCAGAGAAAAUACAUGGAAGUUGAAGAUAGAUGCAUUUUCACUGCUCCAAAAUGUGAUGACUGACUACCGCAGACAGAAAAAAAUCACACAAUAUCAUUGUAAAACUAAUAAAUCCAUUGCUCCACUCAGAAUCAAAAAUAUGUGUUACAGACUACGUGUUCCAUACGGGCUACUAAAUUUAG